rnacentral:rRNA from 1 species
GAGUUUGAUCGUGGCUCAGGAUGAACGCUGGCGGCGUGCCUAAUACAUGCAAGUCGAGCGAACAGACGGGGAGCUUGCUCCCCUGACGUUAGCGGCGGACGGGUGAGUAACACGUGGGUAACCUACCUAUAAGACUGGAAUAACUCCGGGAAACCGGGGCUAAUGCCGGAUAACAUGUUGGACCGCAUGGUCCUACAGUGAAAGACGGUCUUGCUGUCACUUAUAGGUGGACCCGCGCCGUAUUAGCUAGUUGGUAAGGUAACGGCUUACCAAGGCAACGAUACGUAGCCGACCUGAGAGGGUGAUCGGCCACACUGGAACUGAGACACGGUCCAGACUCCUACGGGAGGCAGCAGUAGGGAAUCUUCCGCAAUGGGCGAAAGCCUGACGGAGCAACGCCGCGUGAGUGAUGAAGGCCUUCGGUCGUAAAC